CCCGAACAAAGGUUUUCUCAUUCCCACUUCAGACCCUCUCUAGAACUCUCUAACACUUCCCAGAUGGCCUGAGCCAGCCUCUGACCCAGUCAGGAGGGCCUUGAUCUCACCAUUUACUCUUCUGAAUGAUGGGAUAGAUUUCUGGAAAACAAGUGGACCAGGAACAAUGAGGCAGGAUGUCCCCACCCUGCUUUCCAGGGCAGCCCAGCUGGUGCUGUCCCCACCUACCCCAACACAGCGGGAAGUGUCCCUCAACCCCAGGUACAGAGCAGAGCCUCAAGCAGGACAGGAAGGAGGGUCAGCUCUGAAGCCACCUCUAAGGCCAAGCUUCAGUGAAAACCAUUUCCUCCCCACGGUGGACCAGAGCCAGACCAAGGCUGAGCGGGGCCUGUCUCUCCCACGUCAACAGUCCACAGUCCGGAGUCCUUGGUGGAGGUCUAAAGAAGCAGAGAAAAGAGAAUCUUGCAGCCAGUCGAGGCCGGGCUGAGAUGGUAGUGCUACCAAGUGCAAGUAUGCCUAACAACCUGAGUUUGACCAAUGCAACCCAUGAGAGAAAGCCAGAUACAGCUGAAUGCAUCUAUAAACCCAACAUUCUUCUAUUGAGAAGGAAACUCUCUCAGAACCAAGAUGGCACCUGUUUCCUCAGCUCGUGACUAGAAGACGAUGGUAGCGGAUCAGAAGGCAACUUGAGAAGACAAAUCUCCACACCGACUCUUCCCUGACACCAGCAGUGGACCCAGGAGGAACUAUGAGCUCUUGGCUGCCCUUCUCCUCAAGCCACUGGGGCACCAGGGCUGGCUUGGUCUUAAGACAUCUCUAGCUGUGAUGGAAAUUAAGGCAUAUCAUCCUGCCAUCAACACGUCCAGUCAAACAUUCCAUCACUAACGAGAAAGAAGACCGUGGAUACCGAAGUUAGUGAUCUCUGCCUGAAUAAAUGCACACUCUCUCACCCUCACACAAAAUAUACCAAUCCUUUCCCAAGUUCAAAGCCCACAAGGUUUCAUCCAAUAAUUACUGCAACUAGCUCAAAACCUGGGCCCUCCUGGUGAUUGCAUGAUCUCUCCAUGACCUUCAGAUAUUGGUCCAGAGGCAUAUAAUCAAAAGGUAGGUUGUCUCCAUGCCCCCCGCUCCCCAGCCAGCCACCCAUGUGCAAUAUACAAUGGGAAUGGAACAGGCAACCACAAUUAAAGGUUCCUCUUGGAAAAGAAGAAUGGAAAAUACAUAACAAUUAGGAGAUCCCACCGGGCAAGGAUUGCCAGGGUUCCCAACCUCCUAGGGGACCAAGUGCCUCAGACCAGGCGACUGGGAAAUAUUCCUUUAUCCAUUCUUCUCCGUGGACCCUGAUCUGCCUUCUGGGAGGUCCUUAUUAGCCGACUGUUCUUCAGGGCCACACGGGAAGAAGCCACUGGAGAGGAUGUUGUCCACAGUGGUGAGAGUUCAGAGGUCACAGCCUUCUUCCUUCCACUGCAGGUUAGCCAGCUCAUAGCUUGCCAUGGGAGUUGAGCAAUCUGAGAGUUGUGUAGUUCAGGCUUGCAGACUUUUUGUUAACUAAUUUCCCUCAAGAAAAUUUAGUAUAACAAUACAAAAAAAAAUUAAAUUUAAAAAACAAAUUCCACUUAGGGCCGUAUUGAAAAAUAUAACAAAAUUGGAAUAAAUUUGACAAAAGAACUUGAAGACUUGUACACUGAAUAAUUACCAAACAUUGUGAGGAGAAAUGAAAGAAAACCUAAGUAAAUGAGUGCCCUGUGUUUGUGCAUUGAGAGACUCAAUAUUGUUAAACGGCAGUGCGCCUGAAGAUGAUCUGCAGACUCCAGUGAAAUCCUUUUACAAGUCAGAUGCUUCCCCCACCAGCCCAAAAUGUGAGAGUCAAUUUUAAAAUUCAUAUAGAAGUAUCAGACCCAAAUGGCAACAAACAAACAAACAAACAAACCAAAACGAUCUCGAGAGAGAACAAAGUCGAAAGACUUACACUUUCUUCUCUCACAAUCUAUUACAGAGCUGUGGUACCGUCAGGCUGGUAGGGUCAAGCAACACGCAUGUGUACAUCGAUGCAAAUGCAUUGAGAGUUUGAAAGAAAUGAUUAAACAUAUGGUUAACUGAUUUGCAACAAAAGGGCCAAUAAAAUUCAGUGUGGGAAAGAAUAGUUUCUCAAUAAAUAGUGCUGGGAGGGUGGAACAUUCGUAUUCAAAGUUUGUAAUGGGACCACUGUACCUUGUGGCUCUUGUAGGGGACCUGAUUUCAGCUCGCAGCACCUACACGGUGGCUCACAUCCAUCCGUAACUCAGGAACUGGGAACACACGUGGUUAAAUACAUAUAUGGACACAAGCCACUCAUACAUAUAAAAAGAAAAUAAACACAUCUAAAAUAUUAACCAAAGUGGAGCAUGUCUCUGAGUGUCAGAGGUAAAACUACACGUCAUGUCUGAGGAUCAAAUAUUAGCUUCUUAGAUUUGAUACCA